rnacentral:rRNA from 1 species
GACAGAGGGUGCAAACGUUGUUCGGAAUUACUGGGCGUAAAGGGCUCGUAGGCGGCCAACUAAGUCAGACGUGAAAUCCCUCGGCUUAACCGGGGAACUGCGUCUGAUACUGGAUGGCUUGAGUUUGGGAGAGGGAUGCGGAAUUCCAGGUGUAGCGGUGAAAUGCGUAGAUAUCUGGAGGAACACCGGUGGCGAAGGCGGCUCUCUGGACCGAGACUGACGCUGAGGCGCGAAAGCGUGGGGAGCAAACAGG